rnacentral:lncRNA from 1 species
GGGGUGCGUCCCAAUAGUCCGGUGUAGUUUAGGGGUGCGUCCCAAUAAUCCGGUGUAGUCUAGGGGUGCGUCCCAAUAAUCCGGUGUAGUCUAGGGGUGCGUCCCAAUAGUCCGGUGUAGUCUAGGGGUGCGUCCCAAUAAUCCGGUGUAGUCUAGGGGUGAACAUUUUGUAAAGAAAGCAACACGCCGAGUCUGGAGGUAAAUAUUGUUGUUUAUUAAUAAACAAACACCAGUCAGGAACUGAUAUUAGUCUCGGUGGGGGGUUGGGGGGGGGGAGAUAAAGCACAACGCACAGAGGAAGAUGGGGGGGAGGGGGACAUAUUUAUCUGUUACACAAGGAGGAAGUCCCUACUGAGGGACAGGGAGUACUAAGAUCCAUCCAGAUCAGGAAGUCUACGGGUACAAAACCUUAGCAGCAACACGUUUAAACAUCGUCAUAGCAACACCGGGUGGCUAACAAGGUAGUUUCAUUUAGAAAAAAAAAAAAAUGUCACAGUUUUAUUUUUUUUAAAGCAGAAAUUGGUUAAAAAGUUAUAAACACGUCUAGGAUCAGGUGGUGUAAUCUACAACAUGUCUAGGAUCAGGUGGUGUAAUCUACACCAUGUCUAGGAUCAGGUGGUGUAAUCUACAACAUGUCUAGGAUCAGGUGAUGUAAUCUACAACAUGUCUAGGAUCAGGUGACGUAAUCUACAACAUGUCUAGGAUCAGGUGGUGUAAUCUACAACAUGUCUAGGAUCAGGUGGUGUAAUCUACACCAUCAACAUGUCUAGGAUCAGGUGAUGUAAUCUACAACAUGUCUAGGAUCAGGUGAUGUAAUCUACAACAUGUCUAGGAUCAGGUGAUGUAAUCUACAACAUGUCUAGGAUCAGGUGAUGUAAUCUACAACAUGUCUAGGAUCAGGUGAUGUAAUCUACACCAUGUCUAGGAUCAG